GUGGGGAAUUUUGGACAAUGGGCGCAAGCCUGAUCCAGCAAUGCCGCGUGCAGGAAGAAGGCCUUCGGGUUGUAAACUGCUUUUGUACGGAACGAAACGGUCCUGGUUAAUACCCGGGGCUAAUGACGGUACCGUAAGAAUAAGCACCGGCUAACUACGUGCCCGCAGCCGCGGUAAUACGUAGGGUGCAAGCGUUAAUCGGAAUUACUGGGCGUAAAGCGUGCGCAGGCGGUGCUGUAAGACAGGCGUGAAAUCCCCGGGCUUAACCUGGGAAUUGCGCUUGUGACUGCAGUGCUGGAGUGCGGCAGAGGGGGAUGGAAUUCCGCGUGUAGCAGUGAAAUGCGUAGAUAUGCGGAGGAACACCGAUGGCGAAGGCAAUCCCCUGGGCCUGCACUGACGCUCAUGCACGAAAGCGUGGGGAGCAAACAGGAUUAGAUACCCGAGUAGUCC
rnacentral:rRNA from 1 species